GGAAGCGCCUCGGCGCUACCUGAGCGUCAAAACCACUCACUUCGUGUGACACACAACCCAGCUUUCAGGGACUGAGCGCCCGUCGUCUCGACGGCAGGCCUCGGUCCUCGUUCCGCGGCGGCCUCGCGCCGCCCGCGGGCUGAUCUCUGACAAACGAAUAGAUACGAUUGAAGCGUCCAAGCAUAGCUGCGGGCGCGCGACGGAGCCUCGCAUAUCGAGCUCCGGACGCGAGCUCGACGCGUGCCAUGGGGUAC
rnacentral:misc_RNA from 1 species